UAGUCCACGCCGUAAACGAUGAUUACUCGUUGCUAGCGAUACACUGUUAGUGACCAAGCGAAAGUGUUAAGUAAUCCACCUGGGGAGUACGAUCGCAAGAUUGAAACUCAAAGGAAUUGACGGGGGCCCGCACAAGCAGUGGAGCAUGUGGUUUAAUUCGAUGAUACGCGAGGAACCUUACCAGGGCUUAAAUGUGCUAUGACCUCUCGGGAAACCGAGAUUCUCUUCGGAGCAAAGUACAAGGCGCUGCAUGGUUGUCGUCAGCUCGUGCCGUGAGGUGUCGGGUUAAGUCCCAUAACGAGCGUAACCCCUAUCUUUAGUUGCCAGCGAGUAAUGUCGGGGACUCUAAAGAAACUGCCCGCGCAAGCGAGGAGGAAGGUGGGGAUGACGUCAAAUCAUCACGGCCCUUACGUCCUGGGCCACACACGUGCUACAAUGGUGCAUACAGAGGGCAGCAACCUGGUGACAGGAAGCGAAUCUCUAAAGUGCAUCUCAGUUCGGAUUG
rnacentral:rRNA from 1 species